AUUGAACGCUGGCGGCAGGCAUAACACAUGCAAGUCGAGCGGAGCGUCGGACGGGUGCGUACUGCCUAGGAAUCUGCCUGGUCGUGAGGGAUAACGUCCGGAAACGGGCGCUAAUGCCGCAUACUAUCAGAUGUGCCUAGGUCGGAUUAGCUAGUGGGGGGGGUAAAGGCCUACCAAGGCGACGAUCCGUAACUGGUCUGAGAGGAUGAUCAGUCACAUGGGGACUGAGAAACGGCCCAGACUCCGACGGGAGGCAGCAGUGGGGAAUAUUGCACAAUGGGCGCAAGCCGGAUGCAGCCAUGCCGCGUGUAUGAAGAAGGCCUUAGGGUUGUAAAGUACUUUCAGCGGGGAGGCGGUACCGGCAGAAGAAGCACAGGCUAACUCCGUGCCAGCCGCCGCGGUAAUAC
rnacentral:rRNA from 1 species